UACGAAGGGGGCUAGCGUUGCUCGGAAUCACUGGGCGUAAAGCGCACUUAGGCGGAUUGUUAAGUCAGGGGUGAAAUCCUGGAGCUCAACUCCAGAACUGCCUUUGAUACUGAAGAUCUUGAGUCCGGGAGAGGUGAGUGGAACUGCGAGUGUAGAGGUGAAAUUCGUAGAUAUUCGCAAGAACACCAGUGGCGAAGGCGGCUCACUAGCCCGGUACUGACGCUGAGGCACGAAAGCGUGGGGAGCAAACAGG
rnacentral:rRNA from 1 species